rnacentral:rRNA from 1 species
ACAGGACUUCGGUCGCUGACGAGUGGCGCACGGGUGAGUAACGCGUGGGUUACCUGCCCAUAAGUGGGGAACAACUUGGAGAAAUCCAAGCUAAUACCGCAUAAUACCUUCGGGUUAAAGAGGGGGAUCUUCGGACCUCUCGCUUAUGGAUGGUCCCGCGUCUGAUUAGCUAGUUGGUAGGGUAAUGGCCUACCAAGGCAAUGAUCACUAUCUGGUCUGAGAGGAUGAUCAGUCACACUGGAACUGAGACACGGUCCAGACUCCUACGGGAGGCAGCAGUGGGGAAUUUUGCACAAUGGGCGAAAGCCUGAUGCAGCGACGCCGCGUGCGGGAAGAAGGCCUUCGGGUUGUAAACCGCUUUCUACAGGGAAGAAGGAAUGAGAGCUAAUACCUCUCUGCCUUGACGGUACCUGUAGAAGAAGCACCGGCUAAUUUCGUGCCAGCAGCCGCGGUAAUACGAAAGGUGCAAGCGUUGUUCGGAUUUACUGGGCGUAAAGAGAUCGUAGGUGGCUUGUUAAGUCGGAUGUGAAAUCUCCGGGGCUCAACCCCGGAACUGCAUCCGAUACUGGCAAGCUUGAGUUUGGGAGGGGUAAGCGGAAUUCCGUGUGUAGCAGUGAAAUGCGUAGAUAUACGGAGGAACACCUGAUGCGAAUGCCGCUUACUGGACCAAUACUGACACUGAAGAUCGAAAGCGUGAGUAGCAAACAAGCAUUAGAUACCCUGAUAGUCCGACGACACCUAAACGAUGUCAACUAGUGCGUUGCGAGUA